GGACGUGCAAGGCCAAGAUGAGGACAAAGAAUGAGAGGGAAGGAGGUUGGUUCCUGACAGAGAUGUGAGAAGGAUGGAGAGGAGAAGACCCUGGCGUAGACCCCUACCUGGCCCCACCUCCUGCGAGAGUACCACUGUCCGUUUGCUCUGACUCUGCACUCAACUGAUGUGCUGAGGAGCCUGGACAGGAUCACACUCACUAUGCUGAGCUGGCCCUUGCACCAGCGAGGAGGCCCAGGAGGCUCCAGUGCUUCUGCUCCUGCCUCUGCAUGCUCUCCCUCUUCCUGCCUUGAGACUUAAUAUAGAGUCCAUCACUUGCCAGCUGGGAACCUGAUCAUUGACCCAACAUCCGUGACCUGAGGAGGGCACACAAGUCCAGUGCUCUGUGGGUGUUCCUCUGGAACAUUGUGGGAUGGCAAAGGAGCUCUGAGAAGCCCCCAAAGGACUUCAGGGGACUCUGAAGCAUAGAGAAUAAGGGAAGCCCUUCAAGGCAGGACACGGAAACUGCAGGGACAUGGAGCAGACUGAGGCAAUGCUCAGGCCCUGCCAUCAUGACUCGGGUUCUUGGCUGAGAUUCCACCUACCAAUGUCUCCUGCCAACCGUCAGGUCACCAGCUGCCCCUCUGUUGUCCUGAGUCUCCUGCCCAUUGUGACCUUGAGGGCUCAUGGGCUCU
ensembl:lincRNA Gm11467 predicted gene 11467